GGCGCGAUGGCAGAGUGGUCUAAUGCGAUAGACUAGAAAUCUAUUCUCUUCGGAGGCGCAGGUUCAAAUCCUGCUCGCGUCG